GACGAAGGGGGCUAGCGUUGUUCGGAAUUACUGGGCGUAAAGCGCGUGUAGGCGGUUGUUCAAGUCAGGUGUGAAAGCCUUGAGCUCAACUCAAGAAAUGCACUUGAUACUGGAUGACUAGAGGACCGGAGAAGAUAGUGGAAUUCCCAGUGUAGUGGUGAAAUACGUAGAGAUUGGGAAGAACACCAGUGGCGAAGGCGGCUAUCUGGACGGUUUCUGACGCUAAGACGCGAAAGCGUGGGGAGCAAACAGG
rnacentral:rRNA from 1 species